rnacentral:lncRNA from 1 species
AGGACUGCCAGCAGGCUGUCACCUCUCACCAGGUUGGCAGAAAAAGAAAACAUUAGCAGCCAAAUUAGCCAGUCUGCCUGUGGAAUGAAGGCUCCAGUUUUUGACCUCUAAUGAAAGAAGAAAGAAUACUCAUUGAGGUUUCAGCUGCUUGGGGCCAUUUAGGCAUGGAUUUUCUUCUGCCUCUGCCACCUGGAGACAGGAAGACCAACCCCUCCUGCCCUCCUCCUCCCUAGCCUAGCCAAUGUGAAGAUGACAAGAAUGAAGACGUUUAUGAUGAUCCACUUCCACUUGAU